rnacentral:antisense_RNA from 1 species
AUCUAUGGCGGGCCGUGGUGGGAGUGUCGAGAGACACGCCGGGUUCAAGAUGGCCGGUAACGCCAAUCCCGCCAUGCGCCUGCCACCCCC